rnacentral:piRNA from 1 species
UAAUACAGAUGCCAUUACCAAAUGUUCUCCU